rnacentral:misc_RNA from 1 species
GAAAUGCGAUACGUAAUGCGAAUUGCAGAACUCAGUGAAUCAUCAAAUCUUUGAACGCAAAUGGCGCUUUCGGGAUAGGCCUGAAAGCACGCCUCUUUGAGUAUCGAUUCCACACCAACAAGUCAACAUGCUUGUUGAAAUCUGAGUACUUCACAGAUGACUGAGUCUGUGUUACUUGAAGUGGAAAUUGGGUCAAACAAGAUCGCAAAGGAUUUUCGUUGAAAUGAAAAGCCAGUUGCGUGACGUGGGUAACUUGUUUUUUCUGUCGAAAGACGAAAAAUAUAUCCAAUACGUGACGUAACAGCAAUGGUUUGAUUUCAAUGAGCCGACUUCUUGUCGCGUCUUUUACGAAUCAAAGACCCGUACAUCCGAACAAACACAAUCGAGAAUUAGAUCUCAA